ACCAAUGGAUAGUGCAGUCGGUAGAGCACGAGCCUCUUAAUCUCAAGGUCGUGGUUUCGAGCCCCAUGUUGGGCA
rnacentral:tRNA from 1 species